rnacentral:rRNA from 1 species
AUUGAACGCUGGCGGCAUGCUUUACACAUGCAAGUCGAACGGUAACAGGCCGCAAGGUGCUGACGAGUGGCGAACGGGUGAGUAAUGCAUCGGAACGUGCCCAGUCGUGGGGGAUAACUACUCGAAAGAGUAGCUAAUACCGCAUACGAUCUAUGGAUGAAAGCGGGGGACCGUAAGGCCUCGCGCGAUUGGAGCGGCCGAUGUCAGAUUAGGUAGUUGGUGGGGUAAAGGCUCACCAAGCCAACGAUCUGUAGCUGGUCUGAGAGGACGACCAGCCACACUGAGACUGAGACACGGCCCAGACUCCUACGGGAGGCAGCAGUGGGGAAUUUUGGACAAUGGGCGCAAGCCUGAUCCAGCAGUGCCGCGUGCAGGAAGAAGGCCUUCGGGUUGUAAACUGCUUUUGUACGGAACGAAACGGCUCUGGUUAAUACCCGGGGCUAAUGACGGUACCGUAAGAAUAAGCACCGGCUAACUACGUG